AACGCACAUUGCGCCUUAUGGUAUUCCAUAAGGCAUGCCUGUCUGAGCGUCAGCUCCCCCCCACUCAAGCUCUUUUGCUUGGAAUCUUAGAAAAGCAGUCUAUCUGCCUUCUAUAAAUUCAUAGGCAGUAUGGUUUCUUCCAGACUCGACGUCAUAAUUCAAAAAAGCGUCUUAUUUGGAGUUAUCGUAUUCGCCUUUAACCCACCCUUUUUUUUACUUGGGUGACCUCAGAUCAGGUAGGGAUACCCGCUGAACUUAA
rnacentral:misc_RNA from 1 species